UUGACCGCUGAACACAGUAAAGGUAAUUUUGGCAGACUUUGUCAAAUUAAAAACAUUAACUCAGCUACCUGUUUCUUCAUGUUAAAUGCUAUUAUUAGCGCGUUACCUGUUUUCACCUUCAUACUCUGGUUUCAUUCACAAACACAUCACAAUCAGUAACGUUAGUUCUAACAAAUCGUAAAUUAACCAAUAGUUUUAAAGCUCUUUCUCUUUUGUGGUGUUGCUUGUCAUUUAGCCAGAGGUGUCAGUGAUUCAGUAAAUCACUCAUGCUUUAAAUUUUAUGUGGAGAACUGGUAAGUUACUUAGUUGCUUUCUAACUUGUUUAGAGCUGAAAUUUUGAUAUAAACAGUGGUGCUGUUCUCAGUAUUUAUGCAUAAUUUUUUUAGUACCAUACCAUUUAUACAACCAUUUAUCCAAACCAAGUGAUACAGGAUCAAGCGAUUGGCCAUCACGAAAGUUUGCUUUAUGGCGACUGGCCUCUCUGUUGUCCUGGAUGUGAUGAAAUGCUGGGACUUCCUUUGUCUUUAUUGAAUUUUUUGUGAGCAGUAUCCAGCCGUACGGGCAGCACUAAGAGUCAGGUAUACGCACACGGACCCUUACUAGUACCUGAUUGGACCCCCUUUUGCCUUCCGGACUGCCUUAAUCCUUUGUGGCAUAGAUUAAACAAGUUUCCACUCUGGAGGAAUCUGGAGUCUUUACCUCUGCACUAUAGGAACGCUGAAGAAGAUGAAAUGCUGAAAAACUUUGUCCUACAUCGAUCCUCCAUGAAAAGAUAAAGAGUAAGGUGUCCUACAGAGAUCAUUGUCCUCUCUUCCUCAAAAGAGCCUAUCUCCGGUUGGUUUGGGUGAUGGCGUUCAGGAUGAAAAAUGCUCCAAGAUCUUUUCACAGUGUUGGCUGGUGUUCCCAAUCCCGAAGCAUACUUGGAUGAUGUGGUUUUAUACAGCUCCACAUGGCUGGAACACAUAAUUUAACUGGCAGAGGCUAAGCUUACUUUGAACUUGGCAAAUGUGAAUUUGGUAAAGCCGCUCUUGUCUAUUUGGGUAAAGUAACUGGUGGUGGUGAAGUGUGCCCAUUUGCUGCUAAGGUUAUGGUUAUUUGUGAUUUUUCCUCGUAAGCAAAUAUGUUGUUUUUUAGGUAAGGUAGGUAACUACCAUUCGUUUUGUAUGAAAUUUGUCAUGGUUGUUUCUCUUUUAACUGACCACCUAAGUCUGACGAUUGAGUUUGAGUGGUCCGAUGCAUGCCAGUAUGCAUUUGAGAAUAUUAAAUCCUUACUGAUUUCA